AGGCGGACGCUACCAUGGCGUGAGACAGGGAGGGAAAGAAGUGUGCAGAAGGCAAGCCCGGAGGUAUUUUCAAGAAUGAGUAUAUCUCAUCUUCCCGGAGGAAAAAAAAAAAGAAUGGGUACGUCUGAGAAUCAAAUUUUGAAAGAGUGCAAUGAUGGGUCGUUUGAUAAUUUGUCGGAAAAACAAUCUACCUGUUAUCUAGCUUUGGGCUAGGCCAUUCCAGUUCCAGACGCAGGCUGAACGUCGUGAAGCGGAAGGGGCGGGCCCGCAGGCGUCCGUGUGGUCCUCCGUGCAGCCCUCCGGCCCGAGCCGGUUCUUCCUGGUAGGAGGCGGAACUCGAAUUCAUUUCUCCCGCUGCCCCAUCUCUUAGCUCGCGGUUGUUUCAUUCCGCAGUUUCUUCCCAUGCACCUGCCGCGUACCGGCCACUUUGUGCCGUACUUACGUCAUCUUUUUCCUAAAUCGAGGUGGCAUUUACACACAGCGCCAGUGCACACAGCAAGUGCACAGGAAGAUGAGUUUUGGCCCCUAACCGCUCCGUGAUGCCUACCAAGUCACAGACCCUUUUCAUCGUCCCAGAAACGUUUCAUCACGUCUCUUCCCAGUCGAUUCCCGACCCCACCUUUAUUUUGAUCUCCAUAACCAUUUUGCCUGUUGGAGAACUUCAUAUAGAAUGGAAUCAGGCUGGGCGCUGUGGCUCACGCCUGCACUUUGGGAGGCCGAGGCGGGCGGAUUACUUGAGGAUAGGAGUUCCAGACCAGCGUGGCCAACGUGGUGAAUCCCCGUCUCUACUAAAAAAUACAAAAAUUAGCUGGGCGUGGUGGGUGCCUGUAAUCCCAGCUAUUCGGGAGGGUGAGGCAGGAGAAUCGCUUGAACCCGGGAGGCAGAGGUUGCAGUGAGCCAAGAUCGUGCCACUACACUCCAGCCUGGGCGACAAGAACGAAACUCCGUCUCAAAAAAAAGGGGGGAAUCAUACAUUAUGUGCUCAUUUUUGUCGGGCUUCUGUCCUUCAAUGUACUGUCUGACAUUCGUUCAUGUUGUAUAUAUCAGUAUUUUGCUCCUUUUCAUUUAGUAUAGUCCAUCGAUUGUAUAUCCGUCCUUUUGAUGGCCUUUUGAGUUGUUUCCCAUUUGCGGUUAUGAAAUAAAGCUGCUAUAAACA
rnacentral:lncRNA from 10 species